rnacentral:rRNA from 1 species
UACGAAGGGGGCUAGCGUUGCUCGGAAUCACUGGGCGUAAAGCGCACGUAGGCGGCUUUUUAAGUCAGAGGUGAAAUCCUGGAGCUCAACUCCAGAACUGCCUUUGAUACUGGAGAGCUUGAGUCCGGGAGAGGUGAGUGGAACUGCGAGUGUAGAGGUGAAAUUCGUAGAUAUUCGCAAGAACACCAGUGGCGAAGGCGGGUCACUGGCCCGGUACUGACGCUGAGGUGCGAAAGCGUGGGGAGCAAACAGG